rnacentral:rRNA from 1 species
AAUAGAUACCCGGUAGUCCACGCCGUAAACGAUGAGUGCUAAGUGUUAGAGGGUUUCCGCCCUUUAGUGCUGAAGUUAACGCAUUAAGCACUCCGCCUGGGGAGUACGGCCGCAAGGCUGAAACUCAAAGGAAUUGACGGGGGCCCGCACAAGCGGUGGAGCAUGUGGUUUAAUUCGAAGCAACGCGAAGAACCUUACCAGGUCUUGACAUCCUCUGACAACCCUAGAGAUAGGGCUUCUCCUUCGGGAGCAGAGUGACAGGUGGUGCAUGGUUGUCGUCAGCUCGUGUCGUGAGAUGUUGGGUUAAGUCCCGCAACGAGCGCAACCCUUGAUCUUAGUUGCCAUCAUUCAGUUGGGCACUCUAAGGUGACUGCCGGUGACAAACCGGAGGAAGGUGGGGAUGACGUCAAAUCAUCAUGCCCCUUAUGACCUGGGCUACACACGUGCUACAAUGGACGGUACAAAGAGCUGCAAGACCGCGAGGUGGAGCUAAUCUCAUAAAACCGUUCUCAGUUCGGA